rnacentral:sRNA from 1 species
GUUAGGCUGAAAGAGUUAAUCUUAAUAAAAAUUUUCAAAAUCUGGCCAGUGGUUGCCAGAGCUGGACAGGGACAUAAAUAUGACACCUAAAGAUAACUGGCACUGCAGACCUCCACUCUAUUUUCCCACUAAAAAAGUCAGUUCUAAUGUUUUUCAAGACUGUAAUUAAUAGACUGUAAUUAUCACUUAAGAUUUUUUUCUUAGACAGUUGAGAUUAAAUUUGAAAUUAUUUUUC